GCGGGGGGGUGUGCUGGGAUUUCGCGGAGCCGUUGUGCGGAGCUGUGGCGCUCCGCGGUAGCGGGAGCGGUCGACUUGUCGCUUCUCCGCAGCUCGGCCCCCGCAGCGGGGACUCGACUCCCGCCUGGACGCCGCAGGGCUCUCCUCCGGGCGGCUGCCCUGGCCCACUCAUGUUCACCAGAUUUCCAAACACUUUACCGACGUGGUCGGGCAUAAUCUUGGGUUGGUGAACCCGACCGCCUUCAGUUUUCUUUGAGAGUUGAGGGCAGGACUCUCGCGGGAGUCGUUAUUUCAAAUGGAAACCUGAGUUCCAUUUCAGAUCCUUGGUGUCCUAUUCCCAUUCACUUCACACAAACCACUGCCCUUUGGCUCAGCAACCUUCUCUUGAUGGCUGUCACAAGCCUUCCUUUCUGUGUUUUCCCUUCCGAUCCUUCUUUUUAGACGUGUGUGUGUGUUCUCUAGUCCAGCUGACCUCAAACUCAUUACAUAACCAAGAAUGUCCAGAUUGUGCAGGGCAGAGGAUCAAACUCUGGGAAAACAACAGAUUUGCGCUUUCAAAGUGAUGGUUUCUCCAAUCCUCAUGAUCACCCCAAUCAACAGUAUUGUGCAACACAUCUGAGAGAACAUCACGUGGAAGAAAACUGCAGCCCAAAGAAGUUGAUCACUUUGUUUGAAAUCAUUAUGUCUGUAGUGAAUUAAGCUUGGGCCAAACUGUUUUCAGAAAGAGAAUGUAAAGAUGAAUAGGGAAUUACUUCUCAACUGUUACUUUUUAUAUUUAUUUUACAAACCAAUUGGAAAAGCAAGUACUCAGAAUGUAUAUCCUUUCUAG